rnacentral:rRNA from 1 species
AACGAACGCUGGCGGCAGGCCUAACACAUGCAAGUCGAGCGGACCCUUCGGGGUUAGCGGCGGACGGGGGAGUAACGCGUGGGAAUAUGCCCUUCUCUACGGAAUAGUCCUGGGAAACUGGGGGUAAUACCGUAUACGCCCUUUGGGGGAAAGAUUUAUCGGGGAAGGAUUAGCCCGCGUUGGAUUAGGUAGUUGGUGGGGUAAUGGCCUACCAAGCCGACGAUCCAUAGCUGGUUUGAGAGGAUGAUCAGCCACACUGGGACUGAGACACGGCCCAGACUCCUACGGGAGGCAGCAGUGGGGAAUCUUAGACAAUGGGGGCAACCCUGAUCUAGCCAUGCCGCGUGAGUGAUGAAGGCCGUAGGGUUGUAAAGCUCUUUCAGCUGGGAAGAUAAUGACGGUACCAGCAGAAGAAGCCCCGGCUAACUCCGUG